rnacentral:lncRNA from 1 species
CAAUUCUAAAGAUCAAUACAUGAAACAGUAUUGGCUGAAUCUUAAAUAACUUUUAAUUAAAUACUACAGUGUAAAUAAUUAUUUAAUUAAAAUAUAUAUAUAUAUAUUUAAAAUUUAUAUAUUCAUAAAUUCAUUCACUCAUCAUUCCUUUUUUCCUUCUUUUCUCUCUGUAUGCAACAUCAUGUCUUCUUUGGUGCUGGUCUGUGUGUUUGUGUCUGUGUGUGUGGGUGUGUGUGCUGUUGUCUAUUUUUUAUUAUACUUUUUUUUGCAUUAUUGGUGCCAUUGCUGUGAUACAGCGAGGCUGACUCCGCCUCCUCUGAAGAAGCAUUGAUUAUAACCCGUAAGGAGAACCCGUUUCUCACUCCUCACGGGAGAAAGAGGGCUGAGGAGGAGGAGGAGGAGGAGAGUGAUGAGGAGGGAAGGGGGAGGGCGGUGGUGCCGGACCGCUUUACGGAUGACCUGGCCAGGAGGAGAGCUCGGAGCCGGUCCGGCCCACAGAGAGACCCCCGCCAGUCUCUGGUUCAAAAGGCCAUCACUCAGUCUGACCUCGAGAAGUGGCAGAGGCUUUCUCUGCACACUGAAAACAGUGACCCGCCCCCCGCCCCGCUGUGCCAGGCCUGCCUUGAGAAAGGCUCCAUCCUCGCCGCCCCCCCUGCGAGGGUUGCCAGGGGCGACCUGGCCGCCGGCCGAGGGCGCUCUCCUAGGGACCGGCGGCGUUUUGUGACGUUCGGGGGGGUGACUGAGCUGGAGUGUGUGUCGUGGAGAGAGGAGGAGGAGGAGGAGGAGGAAGGGCGGAGAGAGGGAGAGGGGGAGGAGUCAGAGACUCUUCGACGCCUCCUCUCCACGGCAACUGUUGCCAUGCCCACCUCAGGGGUGAGCCCAGGGCUAACGGCGGUGAGAGUGGUGGGCAGGUAGGGAGAUAGAGAGAGUAGGACGCACACACUGAUGCACACUGAUGCAUACACACUCACUCAUAUGGAUAUCCGUACACACACACACACACACACACUUCGCUUUCAGACACAUAUACAGUGUGCUUAAAAACACGCUGUACAAAAACACACAAAGGAUACAUUCAAACACAGAAAGGCACAGCACACACACACACUCACACACACAUUGCUUGCUGAAUGGCCUGGCUUCCCUCUUCCUUCCAACGCUAGCCGUAAUUUGUGGCUCAGUGAGCGAAUGAUUUGGCGAACUUUCUCACUAACAGACACACACACACACAGACACACACACACACACACACAGACAGGACAGCCUGAACUAAUUGCUGAUGCUGAUGUAGGUAGGUAGUCGUUGCUACAGCGCUGCGGUGACUGGCUGCAUCUGCUCCAUCUGAUAUAUUUAAAGGUACACUAAGAACACUCCUUGUGAAAUUAAACUUACACAUUUAUUUACACAUUAACAGUAAUGUGUAUUUAUUUAUACAAUUACUUACACAUUAACAGUAAAAAC